ACAACAUUGGGACCGUCGGUUUACCUAGCAAUAUCACCCGCUCGGUGGAAGAUCUUCUCACUGUCGU
rnacentral:pre_miRNA from 1 species